rnacentral:tRNA from 1 species
GAAGGCAUAGCUCAGUGGUGGAGUGUGUGCUUAGCAUACACAAAGUCCUGGGUUCAAUCCCCGGUACCUCCA